rnacentral:rRNA from 1 species
AUGGACACCGUUGCCGCCUGGCCGCAGUUUGAGGGGCAAGAGUACAUGACGGUGUGGCCGGAGGAGCAGGAGUACCGGACGGUGUGGUCGGAGCCGCCGAAGCGGCGGGCCGGGCGGAUCAAGUUGCAGGAGACGCGCCACCCGGUGUACCGCGGCGUGCGCCGCCGUGGCAGGGUCGGGCAGUGGGUGUGCGAGCUGCGCGUCCCCGCAAGCCGGGGUUACUCCAGACUCUGGCUCGGCACCUUCGCCACCGCCGAGAUGGCGGCUCGCGCGCACGACUCCGCCGCGCUCGCGCUCUCCGGCCACGAUGCCUGCCUCAACUUCGCCGACUCCGCCUGGCGGAUGAUGCCCGUCCACGCGACCGGGUCGUUCAGGUUCGCCCCCGCGCAAGAGAUCAAGGACGCCGUCGCCGUCGCCCUCGAGGCAUUCCAGGAGCAGCACCCUGCAGACGCGUCCACGACCGAGGCGAGCGCGCCCUCCAUCACCUCAAGUGACUUAUCGGGGCUGGACGACGAGCUCUUGAUUGACGGCAUGGACGCGGGGUCGUACUACGCGAGCUUGGCGCAGGGGAUGCUCAUGGAGCCGCCGGCCGCCGGUGCAUGGCGGGAGGACCGCGAACACGACGACGGCUUCGACACGCCGACGUCGCUGUGGAGCUACUAG